UUCUGAGCAGCUGCCAUGUUUUUUUUUUCAAUGAAAGUAAAUACUGGUUCAGGUGAACCAGCUAGUUUUGCGUUUAGUGUUGAAUAUAAUGUUUUCUCGCACCGAAAAAUUUAAAGUUACCAAUAGUUCCUGUCUUAACGCAUUGCAGCUGACCUUGCAACCUCGCUUGAAACCUUGGACAAAAUUGAUUUGAUUAUUUAAUGCAUGAUUGUUCAUCGUCAAUGUGGAUUUCUAUCUGCACUCGGCUUUACGGAUGCGGAUUCCCGGAUGCCCGGAUGAAUUUUUGUCUCAUCGCCAAUCCAAUCGCUAUGGAUUCAUCAUUACACCAUACACGAAGAGCUAAAUAGUUAAAUCUAAU